UGGGGAAUAUUGCACAAUGGGCACAAGCCUGAUGCAGCCAUGCCGCGUGUAUGAAGAAGGCCUUCGGGUUGUAAAGUACUUUCAGCGGGGAGGAAGGGAGUAAAGUUAAUACCUUUGCUCAUUGACGUUACCCGCAGAAGAAGCACCGGCUAACUCCGUGCCAGCAGCCGCGGUAAUACGGAGGGUGCAAGCGUUAAUCGGAAUUACUGGGCGUAAAGCGCACGCAGGCGGUUUGUUAAGUCAGAUGUGAAAUCCCCGGGCUCAACCUGGGAACUGCAUCUGAUACUGGCAAGCUUGAGUCUCGUAGAGGGGGGUAGAAUUCCAGGUGUAGCGGUGAAAUGCGUAGAGAUCUGGAGGAAUACCGGUGGCGAAGGCGGCCCCCUGGACGAAGACUGACGCUCAGGUGCGAAAGCGUGGGGAGCAAACAGG
rnacentral:rRNA from 2 species